UAGAGUUUGAUCAUGGCUCAGAUUGAACGCUGGCGGCAGGCCUAACACAUGCAAGUCGAGCGGAAACGAUGGAAGCUUGCUUCCAGGCGUCGAGCGGCGGACGGGUGAGUAAUGCAUGGGAAUCUGCCCGAUAGUGGGGGAUAACCUGGGGAAACCCAGGCUAAUACCGCAUACGUCCUACGGGAGAAAGCAGGGGAUCUUCGGACCUUGCGCUAUCGGAUGAGCCCAUGUCGGAUUAGCUUGUUGGUGAGGUAAUGGCUCACCAAGGCGACGAUCCGUAGCUGGUCUGAGAGGAUGAUCAGCCACAUCGGGACUGAGACACGGCCCGAACUCCUACGGGAGGCAGCAGUGGGGAAUAUUGGACAAUGGGCGAAAGCCUGAUCCAGCCAUGCCGCGUGUGUGAAGAAGGCCCUCGGGUUGUAAAGCACUUUCAGUGGGGAAGAAAGCCUUGGGAUUAAUACUCCCGAGGAAGGACAUCACCCACAGAGAGCCGU
rnacentral:rRNA from 1 species